UGGGGAAUUUUGGACAAUGGGGGCAACCCUGAUCCAGCCAUGCCGCGUGAGUGAAGAAGGCCUUCGGGUUGUAAAGCUCUUUCGGACGGAAAGAAAUCGCGCAGGUAAAUAAUCUGCGUGGAUGACGGUACCGUAAGAAGAAGCACCGGCUAACUACGUGCCAGCAGCCGCGGUAAUACGUAGGGUGCGAGCGUUAAUCGGAAUUACUGGGCGUAAAGCGUGCGCAGGCGGCUUUGUAAGACAGGUGUGAAAUCCCCGGGCUUAACCUGGGAAUGGCGCUUGUGACUGCAAGGCUCGAGUGCGGCAGAGGGGGGUGGAAUUCCACGUGUAGCAGUGAAAUGCGUAGAGAUGUGGAGGAACACCGAUGGCGAAGGCAGCCCCCUGGGUCGACACUGACGCUCAUGCACGAAAGCGUGGGGAGCAAACAGG
rnacentral:rRNA from 1 species